rnacentral:rRNA from 1 species
AGCAGUCGCCGCGGGAAUACAGAGGGUGCGAGCGUUAAUCGGAUUUACUGGGCGUAAAGCGUGCGUAGGCGGCUUCUUAAGUCGGAUGUGAAAUCCCUGAGCUUAACUUAGGAAUUGCAUUCGAUACUGGGAAGCUAGAGUAUGGGAGAGGAUGGUAGAAUUCCAGGUGUAGCGGUGAAAUGCGUAGAGAUCUGGAGGAAUACCGAUGGCGAAGGCAGCCAUCUGGCCUAAUACUGACGCUGAGGUACGAAAGCAUGGGGAGCAAACAGGAUUAGAUACCGCGUAGUCCCUGUCUCUUAUACA